rnacentral:rRNA from 1 species
AUGCAGUCACCGCCUCCUCUAUGCAAGUACUUCACGUGGAUAGAUCUUGAAGUGCCAGAAGAUGUCAAAAAGGACCAAUACCAAGAUUGUCUUAGGUGGCAACGGCGGUUCGAAGAAUCGUUUCGAAGAGUCUUGGAGGAAGAGCGUCGUCAGAAGGAGAGGAUGGAGCGGAAGAAACGAGACGAGGAGAGGGCACGCCAAGCGAAACUUACUCGUGAGGAGGAGAGGGCAAGAAAGCUUGCAAAGGCUCGCGAGGCGCAAGAGGAGGACUCGGCCCGUGACAAGAAGGGGAAAUGGCCUCGCUCUACUCAGUAG